rnacentral:rRNA from 1 species
GAUGAACGCUGGCGGCGUGCUUAACACAUGCAAGUCGAACGGAGAUCUUAUUGAAUGAGGCUUCGGCCAAGUGAUGUAUGAUCUUAGUGGCGGACGGGUGAGUAACGCGUGGAGAACCUGCCCUGUACAGGGGGAUAACAGUGGGAAACCACUGCUAAUACCGCAUAAGCGCACGGGAGCGCAUGCUCCAGUGUGAAAAACUCCGGUGGUACAGGAUGGCUCCGCGUUGGAUUAGCUGGUUGGCGGGGCAACGGCCCACCAAGGCGACGAUCCAUAGCCGGCCUGAGAGGGUGGACGGCCACAUUGGGACUGAGACACGGCCCAGACUCC